rnacentral:rRNA from 1 species
UACGAAGGGGGCUAGCGUUGCUCGGAAUCACUGGGCGUAAAGGGUGCGUAGGCGGACAUUUAAGUCAGGGGUGAAAUCCCAGAGCUCAACUCUGGAACUGCCUUUGAUACUGGGUGUCUUGAGUAUGGAAGAGGUGAGUGGAAUUCCGAGUGUAGAGGUGAAAUUCGUAGAUAUUCGGAGGAACACCAGUGGCGAAGGCGGCUCACUGGUCCAUUACUGACGCUGAGGUGCGAAAGCGUGGGGAGCAAACAGG